rnacentral:misc_RNA from 1 species
UUUCCGUAGGUGAACCUGCGGAAGGAUCAUUAAAAAAUAUCACAUUUUGUACGUGAUUUAAUAAUCAUCCUACCCUUCGUGAAUUUGUUUUUGUUUGAAAUUUAUGUUGUCUAUCCCUGGAUAUGAAAGAAAAGUCAUUAAGAUUUUUUUUUCAUUCUAGGGAAUAGGCUUUCAUAGACAUUUUUUUAAAUUAAACUUUUUGUAUUCAUUUGUCUAAAAUUUAUUUUUAAAUAAUUUAAAAACAACUUCUGACAAUGGAUCUCUUGGUUCUCGCAACGAUGAAGAACGCAGCAAAAUGCGAUAAGUAAUGUGAAUUGCAGAAUACGUGAAUCAUCAAAUUUUCGAACGCAUAUUGCACUUUUUUAGUUUACUAAAAAAGUAUGUCUGUUUGAGUAUCAGUAAAAUAUUCUCAUAAAAACUAUUGUUUUUAUGGUUAUGAGUGUUUUACAACGAUAACAAGUUGUUUCACUUUAAAUUGAUUUUUUUAAUAAGCCAAUUUGGUUUUAUUUUUAAAAUUGGAUAAAAUUUUCCCGUAAAAAGGAAUAAACUUUUCAGUUUUAAAGUUAAAACUUAAAUUGACCUACAAAAAAAGGAAAUUUAAUUAUAAAACUAACUUGAUCUCAAAUCAGAUAAGAGUACCCGCUGAACUUAAGCAUAUCAAUAAGCGGAGGAAAAGAAACUAACAAGGAUUCCCUUAGUAACGGCGAGUGAAGCGGGAAGAGCUCAAAUUUGAAAUCUUCAAGGUUCUACCUUGACGAAUUGUAGUUUAAAGAAGUGUUUUCUGUUAGUGGAGUGGCAAAAGUUCUUUGGAAUAGGACAUCAUAGAGGGUGAGAAUCCCGUAUUUGGUCAUUCCUUCUAGCUUUGUGAUACACUUUCAAAGAGUCGGAUUGUUUGGGAAUGCAGUCCAAAAUGGGUGGUAAAUUUCAUCUAAAGCUAAAUAUUGGCGAGAGACCGAUAGCGAACAAGUACCGUGAGGGAAAGAUGAAAAGAACUUUGAAAAGAGAGUUAAACAGUACGUGAAAUUGUCAAAAGGGAAGCGUUUGACACCAGUGUUGUUUUUCCGAAAAUCAAUUAUAAAUGUUUUGUUUCUGAGGAGUGAUGACUUCAUCGGCUUCCUUCUCUCUUCACGAAACUUUUGUAAUGCACUUUUCGGUUAACAAGUCAACAUCAAUUUCUUUUGUUGUAAAAGGGUCAUUCGGAAGGUGGCUUUCUUUUCGGAGAAAGUGUUUAUAGCCUUUGAUCUCUACAAUCGGAGAGACUGAGGUCUGCAGCGUAGACUCUUCGGGGUUAGAUACAUUUGUGCUAAGUUAUAGCUUUUCAUAGACAACUUGUUGACUGUGUUUAGUCUUGUAGCUUACUCGCUUAUGCUAUUUUACCUACGCUUAGGAUGUUG